GUCAUAUUCAGGCUGAAGUCCACCGUGUUUUUUCCGACAACAAGAACAUCGAAAGUAGGAAAGUACCGAAGGAAAUACGGGUCAUCCAUAAAAGUUUCUUCUCUGGUGUGACAGUCAACCCCACUGGUCAACAAUGAAUACCAUGAACACGUGUGUGCUUUUUCUCCGACGCGUGGCGCGGACACACAGCAAACUGGAGAACAUACCUUCCAAGUCGAGCCUUUAUUUUGGCUACAGUUUGUUCUUCUUGGGGAACGUGUUCCACACCAUUGCCAUGUCUGCCCCUCACUGGGCUGAUGGCGCCCAUGGACAUGUCGGGCUCUGGGUGAUAUGCAAUCGCACCAGCCCAACGGCGAGCUGCCAUACAUUCCCCAAGUCUGAAGGUAUAUAUUUACACCAGACUCGGUGGUGUCGUACUUAAGCCAUCGGGUAUAAGGUACUUGGAUCGCAGCACGAAAAUAGAGUGGAUUAUAUUUCCUCAGAUUUUCGCGGUGUUUACGCUGUUUCUGUCGCUGCUGUGUGCAGGUUUCAUCAUCUCAGGCUUCGUUAAAGAGACGACGUUACCGUUAGUCCACGCAAUCUGUAAUCUCGUCUUGUUCGCAGGUUUCUGCUCGAUUGUGUCAGUGAUAUAUUUCCUCAGGCGAUAUAAUCGACUUGGGAAGGUCGCUGAAUACGCCGGCUGGGCUAUGAAACUGGAAUCGGUCGCCGGGUCCGUUCUCCUUGUAGGGGGUAUGUUGUUGUUCUCGCUGGAUCCCUCCUGACGUUUUUAGCACAUACCCUGUCGACUGAUUUAGAUAUGGAACACUGACUUUAUUGCCGAGUCUGUUCGUGGAAUAUAUAUGAGAUUGUGACUUUAAGACUGUAGCUGUGUUUGUGUUCUACAUUAGUAAAAUAUGUUAAAUAAUGAGAUUGUGACUUUAAGACUGUAGCUGUGUUUGUGUUCUACAUUAGUAAAAUAUGUUAAAUAAUGGGAGGUGAGAUUGUGACUUUAAGACUAGCUGUUUUUGUGUUCUACAGUAGUAAAAUAUGUUAAACAAUGAGAGGUGAGAUUGUGGCUUUAAGACUAGUUAUGUUUGUGUUUUACAUUAGUAAAAUAUGUUAAACGAUGAGAGGUGAGAGUGUGACUUUAAGACUGUAGUUGUGUUUGUGUUUUACAUUAGUAAAAUAUGUUAAACGAUGGGAGGUGAGAUUGUGGCUUUAAGACUGUAGUUGUGUUUGUGUUUUACAUUAGUAAAAUAUGUUAAACGAUGGGAGGUG